GGGUACGGCCAUACCUCCCUGAACGCACCCAAUCUCCUCGUCUGAUCUCGGAAGCUCAGCAGGGUUAGGCCUGGGUAGUACUUGGAUGGGAGAAAUGAGCUGAAAGUGGUGAAAUUU
rnacentral:rRNA from 1 species